rnacentral:lncRNA from 1 species
ACCAACGAAGACAAAUUACCCUCGAUCUAAAUAGAUCCACCAAAGACCAGCACAAAUCGAAUCUUCGGAGACCAAUUGGAGACAUACCUUCACACAUCAUCCGACAAUGCUAUUCACACCAUCGAGACGGAGAUAAGACGUGAGAGACAUUAUUUGUGUUGAGGGACAUCGUCAUCGUCACACAACCCCAACCGAAACAUUAAACCUAACAAAAAAUAAGAACGGGCCCCUUCCACCGGGGGGGGGGGGGGGGGGCGAGAUCCUCCGCACCUCCACAUCCCAAAGGCCAUCGGAGGAGGGCGGAUCGGCGGCGGCGGAAGAAGAAAGGAGACCUUUUUGAGGAAUAAGAAAGACACCCUUUGCCGGAGGAUGAAG